UACGAAGGGGGCUAGCGUUGCUCGGCAUUACUGGGCGUAAAGGGAGCGUAGGCGGACAGUUUAGUCAGAGGUGAAAGCCCAGGGCUCAACCCUGGAAUUGCCUUUGAUACUGAUUGUCUUGAGUAUGGGAGAGGUGAGUGGAACUCCGAGUGUAGAGGUGAAAUCCGUAGAUAUUCGGAAGAACACCAGUGGCGAAGGCGCCGCUCUGGGCCGUGACUGACGCUGAGGAGCGAAAGCGUGGGUAGCAAACAGG
rnacentral:rRNA from 1 species